rnacentral:rRNA from 1 species
GUGUCAGCCGCCGCGGUAAUACGUAGGGGGCAAGCGUUGUCCGGAUUUAUUGGGCGUAAAGAGCGUGUAGGCGGCCAGGUAGGUCCGUUGUGAAAACUCGAGGCUCAACCUCGAGACGCCGAUGGAAACCAUCUGGCUAGAGUCCGGAAGAGGAGAGUGGAAUUCCCGGUGUAGCGGUGAAAUGCGCAGAUAUCGGGAAGAACACCCGUGGCUAAGGCGGCUCUCUAGUACGGUACUGACGCUGAGACGCGAAAGCGUGGGGAGCGAACAGGAUUAGAAACCCGAGUAGUCC